rnacentral:rRNA from 1 species
AAUACCGCAUAAUGUCGCAAGACCAAAGUGGGGGACCUUCGGGCCUCAUGCCAUCAGAUGUGCCCAGAUGGGAUUAGCUAGUAGGUGGGGUAACGGCUCACCUAGGCGACGAUCCCUAGCUGGUCUGAGAGGAUGACCAGCCACACUGGAACUGAGACACGGUCCAGACUCCUACGGGAGGCAGCAGUGGGGAAUAUUGCACAAUGGGCGCAAGCCUGAUGCAGCCAUGCCGCGUGUGUGAAGAAGGCCUUCGGGUUGUAAAGCACUUUCAGCGGGGAGGAAGGCGGUGAGGUUAAU